rfam:Trichuris trichiura, WGS project CBXK01000000 data, contig: TTRE_598
GCGUAGAUGGUGUAGCGGUUAGCAUGGUUGCCUUCCAAGCAAUCGAUCCGGGUUCGACUCCCGGUCUACGCA